CUUCACCGAUCCCAGCCACAGGGGCCGGUCGACCGGUCGCUGCUCUCCGUACGUGGCGAGGAGGGCCUGCGCCUC
rnacentral:antisense_RNA from 1 species